GAUGAACGCUGGCGGCGUGCCUAAUACAUGCAAGUCGAGCGAACAGACGAGGAGCUUGCUCCUCUGACGUUAGCGGCGGACGGGUGAGUAACACGUGGAUAACCUACCUAUAUGACUGGGAUAACUUCGGGAAACCGGAGCUAAUACCGGAUAAUAUAUUGAACCGCAUGGUUCAAUAGUGAAAGACGGUUUUGCUGUCACUUAUAGAUGGAUCCGCGCCGCAUUAGCUAGUUGGUAAGGUAACGGCUUACCAAGGCAACGAUGCGUAGCCGACCUGAGAGGGUGAUCGGCCACACUGGAACUGAGACACGGUCCAGACUCCUACGGGAGGCAGCAGUAGGGAAUCUUCCGCAAUGGGCGAAAGCCUGACGGAGCAACGCCGCGUGAGUGAUGAAGGUCUUCGGAUCGUAAAACUCUGUUAUUAGGGAAGAACAAAUGUGUAAGUAACUAUGCACGUCUUGACGGUACUUAAUCAGAAAGCCACGGCUAACUACGUG
rnacentral:rRNA from 1 species